rnacentral:misc_RNA from 1 species
UCUUCUCUCUUUUCCUUUCUUUUUAUUGGUAUUGAUUCUCUCCCACCACAUAUAUUUCCAAAAAACUUAUCAACCUUUUUAUAUAAAAGAGAUAAAGAUCAAAGAGAUCAAAGAAAGAAAAUCAUGGUUUUCUCAUCUUUUCCUGUGUAUCUAGAUCAUCCCAAUUUGCAUCAGUUACAACAGGCUGACGGCCAUCAACAAGGAAAUACUGG